GCUGUGGGAAAAGCAAUCCCAAACCGGCUAAGAGCCGGCGAAGCUGAUCCCGCGAUGGCAUUUUGUUUUGAACAGUUGCUUGGGUUGACGUUUCCUCAUAAGCAAUGCAAAGGAAGACCAGAGAGGCCUGUUUAUCUCUCAGUUGGUGUUUUACUACAUGAAAAGUGAUAUAUUACAGUAGACAGUGAGCAGCCAUUAGGUGUUUUGACGCAGACUCCAGCAUCCUGUGGAUCCAGUAGACAUCCCCCAGAAGGGCCUCAGCCCCAGGCAAAAGUGGCCAGGGAGCCCAGGCUUAACCUCCAGGUCCCAGAAGACUCCUUGGGGAAGCAGCAGACCGGCCAUGUUAGAUCUAGGAUUUGAACCCAGGUUUUAAAAAAAAUGGAACACUGACAUCAUCUCAGAAGCCUCUUUGUUUCUUUCCAAGCAUACCCCACGUUGUCUCUUUGAGCAAGUACAAAUGGCCAUUGUAUUAAUGCUGAGAUAGUUGAUCAAUUCAGAAGAAGGAAGAAACAUUUGAAGACAUUAUGAAGAAGGAAGAAACAGCCUUUUUCGCAAUGAAAAUGGAAGCUCCUAGUGAUGAUAUAUUCAGUGAGCAAAUAUCAGAGUCUCAAAACUAAAGAAGUAAUGUACUAACUAAUAUACUGCUCUGCAAUAUACAGACAACUCCCAUCAUUUUCAAAAUUACUGUAUU